rnacentral:lncRNA from 1 species
GUUCCCACACAUGGGAAACUCCCGCGGGACAGAACUGCCUCCUCUAUCAGACUGUGGGCUCCCUGGAGGCAGGGCUCUGUCUCCCCCAUCGGUUUGGGAUUUAAUGGGGGGGGCAAGUAUCUUCCCCACUCAUCCUUGGGCCUCUUGAAGUCGGCAACUGUGCCUUGCCCAUCAGACUGGGAGCUCUCUGCAGGCAGGCCGUGUUUCCUCUGUCAGACUGGGAGCUUUCUGCAGGCAGGCCGUGUUUCCUCCGUCAGACUGGGAGCUCUCUGCAGGCAGGCCGUGUUUCCUCCGUCAGACUGGGAGCUCUCUGCAGGCAGGCCGUGUUUCCUCCGUCAGACUGGGAGCUCUCUGCAGGCAGGCCGUGUUUCCUCCGUCAGACUGGGAGCUCUCUGCAGGCAGGCCGUGUUUCCUCCGUCAGACUGGGAGCUCUCUGCAGGCAGGCCGUGUUUCCUCCGUCAGACUGGGAGCUCUCUGCAGGCAGGCCGUGUUUCCUCCAUCAGACUGGGAGCUCUCUGCAUGCAGGCCGUGUUUCCUCCGUCAGACUGGGAGCUCUCUGCAGGCAGGCCGUGUUUCCUCCGUCAGACUGGGAGCUCUCUGCAGGCAGGCCGUGUUUCCUCCGUCAGACUGGGAGCUCUCUGCAGGCAGGCCGUGUUUCCUCCGUCAGACUGGGAGCUCUCUGCAGGCAGGCCGUGUUUCCUCCAUCAGACUGGGAGCUCUCUGCAGGCAGGCCGUGUUUCCUCCGUCAGACUGGGAGCUCUCUGCAGGCAGGCCGUGUUUCCUCCAUCAGACUGGGAGCUCUCUGCAGGCAGGCCGUGUUUCCUCCGUCAGACUGGGAGCUCUCUGCAGGCAGGACCAUGUUUCCUCCAUCAGACUGGGAGCUCUCUGCAGGCAGGCCAUGUUUCCUCCGUCAGACUGGGAGCUCUCUGCAGGCAGGCCGUGUUUCCUCCAUCAGACUGGGAGCUCUCUGCAUGCAGGCCAUGUUUCCUCCGUUAGACUGGGAGCUCUCUGCAGGCAGGCCAUGUUUCCUCCGUCAGACUGGGAGCUCUCUGCAGGCAGGCCAUGUUUCCUCCAUCUGACUGGGAGCUCUCUGCAGGCAGGCCAUGUUUCCUCCGUCAGACUGGGAGCUCUCUGCAGGCAGGCCCUGUUUCCUCCAUCUGACUGGGAGCUCUCUGCAGGCAGGCCCUGUUUCCUCCAUCUGACUGGGAGCGCCCACACUCAGGCUCUUAGGCAGCAAGCAGGGCUGUGGAUCAGACUUUCAAGGUGGGAACAGAGGCGCUGAGGAUCAGGGCGAUUAGGUCUGAGAUUGUUCAUCGGCCCCCGAGGGCCGGUACCGAAGGCCGUGUACCUGGUAGGCCCCAAAGGCCCUUUUCUAAGGUUGGGUGUGCCUCGUGACCUGGUACGGGGUCCGCGCUGGCAGGAGGUGUUCCUGGAGUGGGGACAUCUGGAGGGCAGAUGUGCAGUUGGCUGGGAUGGCUGCAGGCCUGGAAGGCUUCAGAUUCCAGGCUCCAUGACUCAGCCUCCGUAGCAGCAUCCCCUCGGCAGCUGGGCCGCUCAGUGCCCUCCGCUGGGGCACAGCUGCACCUCAGCCGGCAAAGACGGAGGGAUGCUGGCAGGGCCAGUGAGCAGGUC